GUAGUCGUGGCCGAGUGGUUAAGGCGACAGACUUGAAAUCUGUUGGAUAUUCCCGCGCAGGUUCAAAUCCUGCCGACUACG
rnacentral:tRNA from 1 species